CAGAGGAGCAGUGAGCAGUAAGGGUCCCGGCAUAGGCACAGCCAGAGGAGCCCAGACCUGCUAAGUCCUUAGGCUCUGGUGUGCUGUGUGAAUGGGGAAGAGGUAUGGAAGGCAAUGGAGUGAGCAGUCUCUGUAUGCCGGGCACAUCUCCCACACGAGAUGGCUGUGGUCCCUGCUCUGCUGGAACACCUCAUUGCAUGCUUUCUGUAAAGGAUGCUGUGGCCACAUUCCUUGGAAAGGACACUAAAGCUGCCUGGUUCUGAUCUCUGGAUGCAGCUUCCUGCUCUGGGAUGCAGGAUAGAGGGGACUUCUCACUGGUGGGGUUUUCCCUUUCCUCCCACCCCAAGUAAGACUGCCUAUGCACUCCUAUGUGUUGGCUGCCCGCUCUCUAGUCUGUCACGAACAUUUGCAUGGUUGUAAAGCUAAGAGAGGAGAAAGAGGGCAAACAAGGUAGCAUAGAAGUGAUUAAGGAUUUCUUGAAAGUUUUCUUGUUAUCAUAACUCAACAGGUUGAAGCCUGUAGUAUAAACUACCUCAGUCUCAUCCUGGAUAUGUGAUGCUGGCAGGAAGAUAGAUGUAGGGGAGAGUCAGGAUACACACGAGAUGAGAAAUAGCGUGGGACAGUCUGGAAGUGCACGUGCACAAAGGCACAUGGGUGGCUGCAUCACAUGUCCUCAUCCUCCCCUUCAGGAAAGCUUCCUACAGAAGCAACCCCGAGUUCUGUCCAUAGUGAAAAUCCCUCAGCCAACACCAUGCAGGGCAUGGGGGCAGCCUGAUCUUGCAGAUCAGUACUGGUGUUUUUACACUAAUGAGAGAGAUAUGAGAGGGAGUGUUUGGAGUUCAGGCAGGAAUGAGUAUGACUUUGUCAACC
rnacentral:lncRNA from 1 species